rnacentral:rRNA from 1 species
GACGAACGCUGGCGGCGUGCUUAACACAUGCAAGUCGAACGGAAAGGCCCUGCUUUUGUGGGGUGCUCGAGUGGCGAACGGGUGAGUAACACGUGAGUAACCUGCCCUUGACUUUGGGAUAACUUCAGGAAACUGGGGCUAAUACCGGAUAGGAGCUCCUGCUGCAUGGUGGGGGUUGGAAAGUUUCGGCGGUUGGGGAUGGACUCGCGGCUUAUCAGCUUGUUGGUGGGGUAGUGGCUUACCAAGGCUUUGACGGGUAGCCGGCCUGAGAGGGUGACCGGCCAAAUUGGGACUGAGAUACGGCACAGACUCCUACGGGAGGCAGCAGUGGGGAAUGUUGCACAAUGGGCGGAGGCCUGAUGCGGCAACGCCGCGUGCGGGAUGACGGCCUUCGGGUUGUAGUCCGCUUUCGCCUGUGACGAGACGUGAGUGACGGUAAUGGGUAAAGAAGCACCGGCUAACUACGUG